ACUCUCUCAUUCUGCAUGGUCACAUUAGGUCUCACCCGUGUGGCUUUCGUACAGGGAGAGAGAGGAAAGAGUUCCUCAGGACCCUGGAUUGGCCCUGCUGUGGCCUCUCUUUCCUAGAGGAGCACAACAGGU